CGCGGCGGAGGGAGGCGCGGCGCGGCGCGGCGCGGCGGGGGGGCGGGGGGCGCGGGGCGCGGGGCGCCGGCCGGGGAGGGGCCGCGGCGGGGGCUCUCGGGCCGGCCGGGGGGCUGGCGCUCGGCGGCCCCCACCCCCGGCGCGGGCUGCGGCGGAGGGCGGGGCGCGGCGCGGGGAGCGGAGCCGAGAGCGGGAGCGCAGGGAGGCUCUUUGUUCUGUAAUCCCAGUAAGAUUGCCAGCCAUUCGCCCCGGCCCUAAUCCCAGCCCCGCGCAACACCACCCUCCAUUGGCUGCCAUUUACAUACGGGAUUAGCCCGCCCGGCCCGCCCCGCGCCCCGGCCUGGGCACCGCGGGGGGAGCGCCGCGCCCCCGCCCCGCCCCCGGCGCCCCGAGCGCGCGCCGCCCCAGCGCCCGCCGCCAGGGGGGCCUGCGGGAGGGGCGCCCGCGGCCUCGGCGCCCCCUGGCUGCCCGGCGACGCCCCUCCGCCUCCCCAGCGCCCCGUCAGGGGCGGAUUAGGAAGCCGGGGCGCGGGGUUCCCGGGGCGCAGGGUCAAGGUCACUCAGCGGGCGCGGGGAGACACCCUGGAGCAGGGCCCGGCGCCCUGCGCGGCGGAGGCGGCGGCGGCGGCUGGAGAACCGAAGUCGUCGGCUGACUGGUCACUCCCACCUUGCCCAGGUUGGCUUCCGGUGGCCGGUCCAGGGGCAAAGCCCCACUCAGAGUCUUGCUGGACCGGGUCUUCGUGCGGAGGUCUCAGCCCCAGCUCGCCUCCUCCGAGAAGUCUUCCCAGAUCUCUGGCUUCCCCGAGCUCCUUCAUCCCCCGCUGCCCACGUUGCCCAAUGUCACCCAUCGUCCUCUUCUAUCAGGAUGCACUGGUCUCCCCUCUGGACCAUGGCUUCACCAGGGCAGCGCUGGGGUCCCCUUCUUUCCCGGGCUUCUUGCCUCCUAGUCCCACGUGGUGUGGCCUCGUGCAGGCCCGGGCAAACAGGACCAGCCGUCCUCGAACACCUGCAUUUCCAGCACAUGGCAGGACACUCCACACGCACUGGACGUGUGGAUGA
ensembl:lncRNA